GGGUGCGUAGCUCAGGGGAUAGAGCACCAGAUUCCGGUUCUGGGUGUCGGGGGUUCGAAUCCCUCCGUACUCG
rnacentral:tRNA from 3 species